rnacentral:rRNA from 1 species
CGGAGGGUGCAAGCGUUAUCCGGAUUCACUGGGUUUAAAGGGUGCGUAGGUGGGCUAGUAAGUCCGUGGUGAAAUCUCCAAGCUUAACUUGGAAACUGCCGUGGAUACUAUUAGUCUUGAAUAUUGUGGAGGUAGGCGGAAUAUGUCAUGUAGCGGUGAAAUGCUUAGAUAUGACAUAGAACACCGAUAGCGAAGGCAGCUUGCUACACAAUCAUUGACACUGAGGCACGAAAGCGUGGGGAUCAAACAGGAUUAGAUACCCUGGUAGUCCACGCCCUAAACGAUGGAUACUCGACAUACGCGAUACACAGUGUGUGUCUGAGCGAAAGCAUUAAGUAUCCCACCUGGGAAGUACGACCGCAAGGUUG